UAGUCCUUUCAGUUUACCUGAACCGUUCUUUUCCCUCGUUUUUGGAUUCAGUAGUACCUCUUUUCCUCUUAUCUCGUCUUCUUCAUUUCUCCGUCCAACCAUCCUAGGUAGGGAGAGGGAGAACCAGGUGAGCUGUGGUGGGUCUCCCGCGGUGGAACUGGAACGGGACUACGGGAAGUGUCGCCGGACGGAGGAGGGCGGAUGGGUCCUGGAGGAGGCCGACGGCCGAGGUUCUCCCAUGGCGCCGGCGGAGCUGCUUUCGACAGAGGAGGCGAAGGAGCAGGCGCCGUCGCCGGGUCGGAUUUUCCAGCAAGUGAGGUUGGUUGCUGGGCAGAUCACCUUUGGUGCUUUUUGGGUGCUUGCCAACCACGUGGACCAAGAAUUGGAUUUUCUGUAUCCUUUUGCCAAUUCAGUUAUGAGGUUGAAGAGCUUCCAGAUUUAGGCGGUUGUCCAUUGCUGCUUCAGUUAUGAGGUUGAAGAGCUUCCAGAUUUUUCUUUUUUGUAGAUCUCUGUCUUAGUCACCUUGUGCUGAUUUUAUACCUCCUUAAUUUGCCAGUCAUUUCUUCAGUAUUAUCUGUGUCUACCUACACAGUUUCUCAGUUAAUUCUAUUUAGUUUGCUAGUCAUUUUCUUAAGGAGAAUAUAGUUCAUGCCUACCUGCUGGUUCUUUUAGAUUUGUCAUUUAGUCUUUAAUUGUUACUGCAUUCCCCGUAACCUCAGGAAUAACACCCACUCAUUUCUAGAUAUGUUGCUGUCUCCACUUCCUCCGCCUCACCCAAACUCAGUCCAUUGAUCUCCACGGAGAACCAGAUUUUUGCUGCCCAACACUGUCCCCACGUGAUAUAUGUUGUAGUGAGUCAGGAACAUUGCAAAUGAACGUGCACCCACCAGCAGAAGUGUGUCAUCUUUUUCGUUUGCCAAGUGCUAAAGGUAACAAGUAUUGCCCUCUUUUAUGGUUUGUGAUAGAGCAGCUUCUUUAUACGCCUAUGUGCAAGAUCAUUUUCUUCAGGAGAUUUUAGUUCAUGUAUACCUGCCCCUUUUUUUCAGUAGCUAUAGCCUAUUUCGAGUUCACUAUAGGGCUGAUACUUAUGUGCAGAGAAAGUAGAGAUUCCACAUGCUUGAUCAAGAUAGAUGCAGAGUUGGUUCAGUGGAAAUUAGGAGGGUAUGUGGGGUGACAUGCUUGGGUUUUUCCUCUAGGAGAUCUAGAAGAUUGCCCAUAUUCGUGCUCUAGUGAGAUUCUAUACGUGAGGAGGAAGCAGGGAAGAAUGGUGAUGUGGACGCAGUUACAAAACAAGCGAAGAGAAUCAGGGCCCACUUUAUUUUGCUGUUCGGCUUUAAGCCCAUAGAGUAGCCUGACAUAGCAAUAAUGGUCAAGUUCAGUCUUUUUUUGUUCAAUGCAUGGACCUGAAAGGAUCCUAAUAUUUUUUUAAACCCAGUUUUAUCAUGGCUGUAAAAAACCAGAAUGAUGGAGAAUUGUUCAUUGUUUGAACAUACUGUGAGUUUGUCAUGUCCAAAACUGAUCGGACUGGAAAACUGAAGCGGGAAUGAGGAUUGAAGGAA